CUGAGUUAUCCAAACUCCAAAACCCUUUGUGAACCUUACCGUCGUUGCCUCGGCGUGAGCUGCGGCUACCCGGUAGCUACCCUGUAGCUACCCUGUAGCCGGUUCACGGCCCGCCGAAGGACAGCUAAACUCUUGUUAAUUACCACUGUAUCUCUGAAUUGUCAACUAAAUAAGUUAA
rnacentral:misc_RNA from 1 species